rnacentral:lncRNA from 10 species
ACACCCGGCUUGGGAUCUUUUUUUAGCUCGCACAUGUGAAUGAGUACAUGCAAUAUUUAUCUGUCUCUGCUUGGCUUAUUUCACUUAAUGUAAUGACCUCCUGAUCAACCCAUGUUACUGCAGGCAGCCUCUUUUAUGGCUGAAUAAUAUUCCAUUGUGUAUAUGUACCAUACUUUAUCCAUUCUUCUGUUGACGGUUAUUUAAAUUGAUUCCAUAUUUUG